UACGUAGGGUCCGAGCGUUGUCCGGAAUUAUUGGGCGUAAAGGGCUCGUAGGCGGCUUGGCAAGUCGGGUGUGAAACCUCCAGGCUCAACCUGGAGACGCCACUCGAUACUGCUAUGGCUAGAGUCCGGUAGGGGACCACGGAAUUCCUGGUGUAGCGGUGAAAUGCGCAGAUAUCAGGAGGAACACCGGUGGCGAAGGCGGUGGUCUGGGCCGGCACUGACGCUGAGGAGCGAAAGCGUGGGUAGCAAACAGG
rnacentral:rRNA from 1 species